CUUCCGACCACGCCGUUUUGUUUUGCCUUCGCCAUCCCACCCGUGGAUUUUAAGGUAGCAAAACGGAGACCCUGGGAACGAGGUUGAGGUUUGUGCUCAGGUUACAAUCUUGUACAUGGCCCUUGAGACCAUUCCAGCCAAUAUUGCAAAGUUAAAGCAUGCAUGUGUAGUGACAAAACAAACUUCGUCAACCUCUCUUUCUCAGUUCAAUUUUGUAAGCAACGUUGAAACGACUUUGGGUAAUCUAUACCGUAUAUACACAAGUUCAAUUCGAAAGCGAUUUUACAUUUUUAGGAGCAAAUCAAACAACAUAAAAAAUUAUGCGGUUUUUU